rnacentral:rRNA from 1 species
GACAGAGGCCCCGAGCGUUAGGCGGAAUCACUGGGCUUAAAGCGUGUGUAGGCGGACCCCUAAGUGUCUUGUGAAAUCCCACGGCUCACCCGUGGAACCGCUGGGCAUACUGGGGGUCUUGGGCCGUUCAGGGGCGACUGGAACAAGCGGUGGAGCGGUGAAAUGCGUAGAUAUCGCUUGGAACGCCGAAGGUGAAAACAGGUCGCUGGGGACGCGCCGACGCUGAGACACGAAAGCCAAGGGAGCAAACGGG